CUGGCGGCGUGGAUAAGACAUGCAAGUCGAACGCUGAUUAUAGGGUAGCAAUAUUCUGUAGUCGGAGUGGCGAAAGGGUGCGUAACACGUGGGUAAUUUGCCGUGAAGUUGGGGAUAACUCGCUGAAAGGCGAGCUAAUACCGAAUGUGGCCUAACAAGGCUAAAGUUGGGGACCGUAAGGCCUGACGCUUCAUGAUAAGCCCGCGGCCUAUCAGCUAGUUGGUGAGGUAACGGCUCACCAAGGCUAAGACGGGUAGCUGGUCUGAGAGGACGACCAGCCUCACUGGAACUGAGACACGGUCCAGACACCUACGGGUGGCAGCAGUCGAGAAUUUUUCUCAAUGGGGGAAACCCUGAAGGAGCGACGCCGCGUGGGGGAUGAAUGGCUUCGGCCCGUAAACCCCUGUCAUUUGCGAACAAACCUUUCGGUUUAAUAGACCGAAAGCUGAUAGUAGCGAAAGAGGAAGGGACGGCUAACUCUGUGCCAGCAGCCGCGGUAAUACAGAGGUCCCAAGCGUUGUUCGGAUUCACUGGGC
rnacentral:rRNA from 1 species